UGCCAAGUGUCACCCGGAGAAAGGGAAAAUAGCUUAGUUACCGCUAAAUUUCCAGAGCUAGUGACAACACUACAUGUGGAAACAUGCCAGACACUUCCACUCACCAUCUGAUUCGAGAAACCUUGCCCCACGCACAAUGGUAAUGUUUCCGUAGUCCCGGCAGCUUCUCCCUGUACCAAGCACCGCCACGCAGCACCAGAGAGCCACGAGAUGGACAGGUUAAGAUGCCACACGGAGGGGGGUGAAGGAGCCUUGGGGAUGCCUGAAGGAGGAGCAGUGAAGGAGGGAGGCCUGGAGGUGAAGGAAAUGCAGAAAAUUCCUCUAAUACUGAGCGCUUCUCUGGUCAGACCAUCCUUCACUGAAUAUUUGGACCGAGGCUUCAAGAUACGAGUGAGCCAGGCGACCCUCCAGAACAGCGCCAUCCUGCCCACUUGUGGUGUGGCAGCCCUGAUCGUACCCCUCCCUCCCUCUCCCUCCUCCUCCUCCUCCUCCUCCUCCUCCUCCUCCUCCUCCUCCAGCAAAGAAGAGACCUUUGAUCAGCUGGUGGACAGGGUCCGCGCCUUUAGCCGAGUACACGCGGGGGGCGUUGUAAUACUGGUGGGUGCUGUGUUUGGCAUGGAGGAGGUGAACGGGGUGUUGGGGAAGUUAUCAAGGAGGUUACUACCACGCCCCUCCCCUGCUACUGCCUGCCCACGGGGAAGCCCAGGCUGCCGCGCACAUACAACUACUGGCAAAGAAGUAGCGGCGGGGCUGGAAGUGGGCGGGAGUUUAGCAGGCUUCGCUAAGAUUGGGCUGGAAGUUAACGGAGGAGUAGGCGCGGCACGUGACAAUGCAAUACAGGGCUUACAGAGGGCAGGCGUGACUGGGCCCUGCCUCGCCGCCCUUGUCAACACCCUAGAGAGAGAUACGCUCACCUUGUAGAGAGAGAGAGAGAGAGAGAGAGAGAGAGAGAGAGAGAGAGAGAGAGAGAGAGAGGAUAUAUUUUAAUUUUCUUUCGUUAUAUAUUCAAUUUAUUUAUUCAUUUGUUAUUUUAACGGUUACUUUCUUUUCUCAAUAUUUUUCGUUCGUUUUUUUUAUAAUGUAAUGCUUAAUUUUAUCUAUAUUUGUUUACAUUUUUUUUAUCACUUUCGAUUUUAUAUUCAGUUCAUUUAUUUAUCUUUAUUUUUAAGAUCAUUUAUUUAUUUAAUUUAUUUUUUCGCUCGUUUUCAUAAUGGGAAUGUUUACUUUUAUAUAUAUUUUUAUAUAUCUUCGAUUUAAGUGUGUCUAAGUAUUUGCAAGGAUCAUUUAUUUAUUUAUUUUUAUUUUCCGUCCGUUUUUUUUUUUUUUUAUAAUGGAAUCUUGUUAUUUCAUCCAUAUUUCCGUUUUCUGUUACUUGUUCAUGCCAGGGGUGACAAUAAACAUUAAGAUUA